UUCAAAACACACAUCCCCCUCGCAAUCUCUCUCGCUCUCUGAAAUUCCUCUGUUCCUUCCGUCACAGCCCAAGAAUGUCGGUCCCCAGUUCGCUCCGCCUCUGUUCCUCCGUUUUCGUCCUUUGACGCACGAAUCUUGGGUUUUGGGUUUCGAAAAAUCCGAAUCGCUGUUUCGGGUCGCAGUCCGUUUCUUGAAAGAGAGAGCGCUCUCCCCGUUCGUGCUUCCGUAAGGAGAAAGAGCUUCUUGCGCGCGGCGUGGGAGAUAUGGAAGGAGGAGGGCAGUACAAUCCUCGGACUGUGGAGGAGUUCUUCAGGGAUUUCAAGGGUCAUCGAGCCGGUAUGAUCAAAGCUCUAACCACUGAUGUCGAGGAAUUCUAUCAGCAGUGCGAUCCGGGUUAGGGUUCUGAUCCGCUUACUCUGUAUUAUAGUUAGAACUUUAUCGGGGAAAAAUAAAUAAAGAAUAUGGUAUUGCAUUGCUUGAUGUCAGACAUUUUGCUGUGGCAGUAGAUUUCACUGUCUCGCGAGUUCUUUGUAAUGGAGAUGUUUUUGCAAGUUUGGUUCUUGAGCUUAAUGAUGCAGUUUUUUUCUCCUUUUGGGA